GUCCACGCCGUAAACGAUGAUUACUCGAUAUUAGCGAUAUACUGUUAGUGUCUAAGCGAAAGUGAUAAGUAAUCCACCUGGGGAGUACGAUCGCAAGGUUGAAACUCAAAGGAAUUGACGGGGGCCCGCACAAGCGGUGGAGCAUGUGGUUUAAUUCGAUGAUACGCGAGGAACCUUACCAGGGCUUAAAUGUAGUCUGACAGGUCUGGAAACAGAUUUUUCUUCGGACAGAUUACAAGGUGCUGCAUGGCUGUCGU
rnacentral:rRNA from 1 species